rfam:Anolis carolinensis unplaced genomic scaffold chrTn0022, whole genome shotgun sequence.
CCAAAGGUCUUUAUCAAGACCAUUAUGUCUAUUAAUAUAGAAGGUUU